rnacentral:rRNA from 1 species
AUACGGAGGGUGCAAGCGUUAAUCGGAAUUACUGGGCGUAAAGCGUACGUAGGCGGUUAUUUAAGUCAGAUGUGAAAGCCCCGGGCUUAACUUGGGAACUGCAUUUGAAACUGGGUAACUAGAGUUUGGUAGAGGGGAGUGGAAUUUCAGGUGUAGCGGUGAAAUGCGUAGAGAUCUGAAGGAACACCAGUGGCGAAGGCGACUCCCUGGACUAAAACUGACGCUGAGGUACGAAAGCGUGGGUAGCAAACAGGAUUAGAAACCCUAGUAGUCC